UUCCGGUUGAUCCUGCCGGACCUGACUGCUAUCGGAUUGAUACUAAGCCAUGCUAGUCUUUGUAGUAAUACAAGGCAUACGGCUCAGUAACGCGUAGUCAACCUACCCUAUGGACGGGGAUAAUCUCGGGAAACUGAGCAUAAUACCCGACAGACCACUUCUCCUGGAAUGGUUAGUGGUUAAAAUGAUUCGUCGCCAUAGGAUGGGACUGCGGCCUAUCAGCUUGUUGGUGAGGUAAUGGCCCACCAAGGCGAUUACAGGUACGGGCUCUGAGAGGAGAGGCCCGGAGAUGGGUACUGAGACAAGGACCCAGGCCCUAUGGGGCGCAGCAGGCGAGAAAACUUUGCAAUGUGCGAAAGCACGACAAGGUUAAUCCGAGUGAUUUCUGCUAAAGGAAUCUUUUGUUAGUUCUAAAAAUACUAGUGAAUAAGGGGUGGGCAAGUUCUGGUGUCAGCCGCCGCGGUAAAACCAGCACCUCAAGUGGUCAGGAGGAUUAUUGGGCCUAAAGCAUCCGUAGCCUGUUCUAUAAGUUUGCGGUUAAAUCUAUACGCUCAACGUAUAGGCUGCCGUAAAUACUGUAGAACUAGGGAGUGGGAGAGGUAGACGGUACUCGAUAGGAAGGGGUAAAAUCCUUUGAUCUAUUGAUGACCACCUGUGGCGAAGGCGGUCUACCAGAACACGUUCGACGGUGAGGGAUGAAAGCUGGGGGAGCAAACCGGAUUAGAUACCCGGGUAGUCCCAGCUGUAAACGAUGCAGACUCGAUGAUGCAAUGGCAUAGAGCUAUUGCAGUAUCGCAGGGAAGCCGUUAAGUCUGCCGCCUGGGAAGUACGUACGCAAGUAUGAAACUUAAAGGAAUUGGCGGGGGAGCACCACAAGGGGUGAAGCCUGCGGUUCAAUUGGAUUCAACGCCGGG
rnacentral:rRNA from 2 species